CUGAUUAGGGUGGCCAUUUUAAUACCCACUCUCAAGGCUGGAGCAGCAGUUUACUGCCAGCCAGCAAGGGAGAAACAUCACCUGGCUGAGUUACUGCUCCAGGAACAGCUUGGAGUUAUUAAUUUCAUGUGCUAACCACUCCUGCUACAUAACCGUCAUGCUCAACUACAGAUCAUCAUCUUGUGUGAAGAAAAAAGAAGUACAGAUUUGGUUUGCAAAUGUUCUGGAGGUGGAUAUUAAACCAACAAACUCUGGUGGUUGCCUCUGGGAGGCCAUGUGCAUGCGCUGCUAAAACAUGUGGAGACAACAGCACAGCCAAGUUUGAAUUUGUUUUGUUCUCUUCUAAAAAGCCAAAUUAAUGAUUCAGAGAGAAAUACUAAACAAUAUUUUAAGUGGGUAAUUAUGGGGAAGUCUCUUUAUUUAAAGACACUUAUUGUAGAAGUAUUGCAACCAUCUGCACAUUUUGUUUUUACAGGAUGCUACUGACAAAUAUUGUACCACUCACACACAUAUGCAUGCACAUUAAGAACAUUUCUGCUACUUACAAAUCUGGAGGAAUUGUCAUUCUUCACGGUCUUGGCAUUUCCAAAAGCUUCAAGAAUAGGGUUUGCCUGUAGAAGCUGUUUUUCCAGCUCACCCUAAAAUUCAUUCAGACUCAGUUAACCCUGAACUCAGUAAUUAUUUAACUGAAAAACAGCAACUGUGUACCCUAGAGAAAAAAUCUCAAACAAUGUUGAUUGAAGCUUUUAAACAUACUAUUGCUUAUUAAUACACUUAAUGUGAGUUUGGUUCCAUUACUCUGUUAAUCAUUGUGUUUAUAAAAUGGUGCAGUUCAGUGUACUAAUGUUCUAUAUACAAGACCUUUUCCCAGCAGUGUUGGUUGCUUCAGAUCAAAGUCUGUUCAUCUUUUUAUCAGUACUUCUGGUUUGACUUAAUGAUAAGGGCCAGUCAGUGACAAUUAAUUUUUUUUUUAAUGUAUUACAAGGAAGAACGAUGCCUCUAGAGGAACCUGCUGAGAUAUUUUUCCAAGUUAGUGUACUGAGGUCCUUUGAUAGCACAUGAUGAUGUAAUUAGAAAAACUUGGUGAGAAUAAUUUUAAUAUAAUGCAACACAAAGCUACAAAGCAGAUUUCAUUGAGUCUAUUAAUAAUGUUAAAUGCAGGGCUAUUUAGGUUGAAUAUGGAAAUACAUUACUUUGUUUCAAAACAGAAUCAUGAAUUCUCAUGCAAACACACAAACACACUGUUAUAUUGUUAACUGUGAUGGUAACUGAUAAUUAAACAAGCCAAGCAAUGAAAGCAUGUAUGCACUUAAUAAUCCUGCUCCUAGACCAAACAAUGCUGAAAACAAUAACUCUGUCAAUGAUGUCAGCUUCUAAUGAAUUGCUAUGUUCUCAUUCUAAAUCUAUAUUACUUUCAUGUUCGAAAUCUAUAUUAACAUUUGCUUUUUCUCCUGCAGUAAUAGGCAACAUUGUAUAAAAUUCCAAUCAAAUAAACAGUUCCCUAAAAGCAGAAAACUUUCUAAGUAGAAGAAUAAUAGGAUUUUAUUAACACCAAUGUGAACAAGUAAUUAAGGCAGAAUUUGGACUGAGUUUAAGAGAAGCAAUUUAGAAAAUGACCAUUUGCCAACAACAGAAAAAUGCGGUCCAUAAAAGCUCUAUUUAUAAGGCUAUUCUUGAUAUAAAGCUACUGACUGUUGUUCUAAACACCACUGCAAACAUUCUAGAUAUCUCACAUUUUGUGUGAAAGUAAAGAAGCUUGACUGUAAAAAAGAGUCAACUGAUCAUUAUCUCCCUGCUAAAUUCUUCCGCAUGUACAUGAUAGGUGGAGAGAGGCAGGGUUGCCGAUUAGAUAUUUAGUCCGUAGCUAAUGGUCUAAACAAGGCUGCAUUAUGAAAAUACCUAUCUAGUAGCUGAAAGAGGAAGAGAGAUUAGCAAACGAACAAGUUAACACAAGAACCCUGAAGUUAAAAAUAACUUCCUGCAAAUAAAAACUUGUGGAGAGUGGACAAUGCUGUCUGAACAAGGCUGCUACUGGGCUUCACCAUACAAUUCUUUUAGAUAAUACUUCUCAAUUAUAACAACCCCACUGUUGCAAGAGUGGGUGUAAACCCAUUAGAAGCAUAGGAUAUUACUGAAGUCACUUCAUUAGCUGAUCAGUAUAAAAAGAACCUUCCAUGGGCCGCUAAAGAUGGAAGAAGACCCAUAGUCUCCUACUGCAAGCUUGCUACAUUGUUCAGUUAUGGUUAUAUAAUUUCGAGUCCUAAUUGUUAGCUAGUGUAUGCCUGUGACCUUUACAAAACCUCAAGACUUACCUAUGCCUGAACUGAAUUUAUUCCAUCAUAGAAAGAAAUGGAAUGAGAGAUAUUUCCAGUAGCUUGGCAAAUGAAGGACCAACUACAGUCAUAAAUAAAGGAGAGAAAGCCUGAGUAGAAUCUCUCAAACUACCUCACAUCCCAAGAAACACGCUGAUGGCAUCUCAGAAGUCAAAAUAGAGCCCUUUCAUAUUGUUACUUAUUGCAGGAGUAAGUUGGAGAACAUGCAGUUUUGCAGACAUGCAUAAUGCUCAACAAGUUACAUGAAAAUGCAGAAUUGUAAGCAAUAUCAAAUGGAAACCAUGCAGCCAAAGUUACAAAUCAAUCACACACUGUGAUGAUUUGGCAGUUAUUUCACAACAGUCCUAAAAAGUUCAACCUGAAGCAAAGAGUAUUUCCAUUAAUAAAUUAUAUGGUCAAAUUUCAGGCUGAUUGGCUCUUUCAGGAUCGUGAGAAAAUUCAUUCAAACUGCAAAAAUUUGAACACACACAUAUAGAACACAGUGAUAUUUGAAAGACAACCCUCCAUGUGUCAGACCUCAUCCUUUAUCAUGGAGCCUGACACAGUUAGGGCCAAUACAUGUGAACAUUUGGUGCUAUUGUUGCUUUUUGUCAUGUGAUACAAUAUAUAUUCCAACAAAAACCACUUCUGAUUUUUUUGGGUGCAACAAUAGCAUGCAGAUCUACACUCAGUGCCUUAAACACACAUCGAACAGUCUAAGUUACUCACGUAAGAAAAAGAUGGACCUUGCUGUAUUGAAUAACAUGAUAUAAAACAAAUGUCAGUAUUUUUUUCCAUCACAUACAUGUUUUUGUUUCUUCCUAUAUAAAAACAACCAACACACAGUUUCGCUAUGCAAAUUAAACCAGGAGAAAACGAAUGACAAGAAUUUGUUGUAGACAUACAGGGAGUUCAGCCACAGCUAAUGUACACAUCAUUUUAAGAGAAGCUGAAUGUACAAGAUUUAACCAAAGCUCAGUCAGAUCAAUUGGAUUCUUUCAUUACGCUGAAUAGACUUUGGAUCAGGCCCCAAAUUAGUCUCUCAAUGAGAGCACCAAGGAGAAAAUUGUUUAAGAUAAGUUCUUAAUCCUCCUAUGGGGCAUUUAAUGCAUCUAGAGAUUUGUAAAGAUUUCUAAAUGAUUUUAAGUGCUGUGUCAGCAGUCCCAGACAUAGGAAUCAUUUACUGGCCUACAGGACAGGAACCAGUUUGGCCUGCUGUGCACCAUCUUGCCUCAGGUCUAAUUUAGCAGGUUCCACCUUAGUGGGGAGAAGAUAGACCAGUCUCAUGGCAUAUUUAUUCUUGAGCCUCUGAUGAGUCUUUCAGAAAAUGCAUCAUUUAGCCCCAGCUGGACUGGCAUUGUGGCAAUGUGGCCAUUUAUCCAUUAGAAACAGCAUUGAAACCAUCAGUUCAUUUCACGAUCACUGAAUUUAUAUGCAUAGGAUGUCAGAAGUGCUCAGAACCUCAGGAAUAUCAGACCUUUGUUCUCAUUGACUUUCCACUAGGUACAAAGAUGGUGAGAGAUGACACACUGCACUCCAGAGAUGUGGAAAGUACUUUGGAAGGCCCCAGGGUACGCGGCAGUGGUGCGGAGAAGCCACCAGCACUUCUGGUUUUGCCGGUGGCACUUCUGGUUUCGCUGCCAUGUGCUGCAUGGGGGGGACCCCCCCCCACUCGUUGACCGGCUGCUGGGCCCUCCCUCCCCCCCGCUCGUCGACUGGCUGCCAGGAGACUCCCCACUUCUAGACCAGCCGCCAGGGAUACCCUGACCAAAAAAGGUUGAAAACCCCUGGGCUACACAAUCAUGAACUGUUUUACAACUUCUAAUUGUUAUCAGACUAGGCUAGGUUUUAAGUGAUGACUUGUGGAAAAGAAAAUGGUUCAUUUUCUAUUUUCUAGCUGCACAAUCUAUUAGGAUAAGCUCAAUUCAGCAUUCCUUGAGCAAUAAAAUCUAUUACUGAA